rnacentral:rRNA from 1 species
UACAGAGGGUGCAAGCGUUGUUCGGAAUUAUUGGGCGUAAAGGGCGCGUAGGCGGUGCGGUAAGUCCGCAGUGAAAUCUCUGGGCUCAACUCAGAGUCUGCUGUGGAAACUGCCGUGCUUGAGUGUGGGAGAGGUGAGUGGAAUUCCCGGUGUAGCAGUGAAAUGCGUAGAGAUCGGGAGGAACACCAGUGGCGAAGGCGGCUACCUGGACCAGCACUGACACUGAGGCACGAAAGCGUGGGGAGCAAACAGG